UUCGUAUCGACUUUGUGCGCAUUUUGCUAUUAUGUGUUCUUUUAAUUAAAAUGAUUCUUUU
rnacentral:rRNA from 1 species